ACCGGCAGCUCAAGUGGUGGCCAUUAUUAUUGGGCCUAAAGCGUUCGUAGCCGGUUUGAUAAGUCUCUGGUGAAAUCCCGCAGCUUAACUGUGGGACUUGCUGGAGAUACUAUCAGACUUGAGGUCGGGAGAGGUUAGGGGUACUCCCAGGGUGCGGCUGAAAUCCCAUAAUCCUGGGAGGACCACCUGAGGCGAAGGCGCCUAACUGGAACGAACCUGGCUGUGAGUAACGAGAGCCAGGGGCGCGAACCU
rnacentral:rRNA from 1 species